UAGAGGCCUACCAUGGUGGU
rnacentral:misc_RNA from 1 species